AGUGGCUAUAAAUGUGAGUGCAGCCCUGUCCUGUCCUCAGCUGCUGCCCUGGGCGCACUGCCUUGCGGGUCACUGUGGCUGCUCCUGUGCUUCAGCGGGACUAGAAGCUGCCGCCCACGGGCAGCGGGGAAGAAAUCUGGGCAAAGCCAUGAGCCCUCCGAGGCUGAGCUCCAGUUUAGGGGCUCACCUGCCUUGCAUCGUUCCGAGUCCUGUACUGGACUGCAUCAGGCCGCGUCUCCUCAGGGUGGUACCUCUAAAUCCAAAAACUCCAAAUGUCCACCAGCUCCAGUCACAUUGGAGAUACAGCUGUGGUUUGCUCCUAAGACCCACCCAGCACACGUGAGAUGGGGAGACCUGGAUUGCAUCCCCAUGUCUGUCCCAGUGGAGAUAUCAUUGGAAAAGCUGCAGUGAUCUCUAUAAAAAUCUCAACCACCCGCUCCCAGUAGGUUCAGUGCUGCACUCUAAGAGGAGAACAGGUCUGACUCCUCAAGGAGAUGCCUCUGGUCCAGGCUUUGUAAACUUGGGCCUUCCAGCCAGAUUCCUCCGAGCUCAGUGUCCGCUGCUGCUGGGCUGAGGGGAACCCCACUCCUUCACCACCGACUCCUGCUCCUGGCUGCACCUGCCCUUCCAACAGUGUCUCCUCUCAA
rnacentral:lncRNA from 10 species